GUGGCUGUAGCUCAGUUGGUAGAGUGCAGGAUUGUGGCUCCUGUUGUCGUGGGUUCGAUUCCCAUCAGCCACC
rnacentral:tRNA from 1 species